AAGUUGAAAAGAACUUUGAAGAGAGAGUUCAAGAGUACGUGAAACCGUUCAGGGGUAAACCUGAGAAACCCAAAAGAUCGAAUGGAGAGAUUCAACGUCGACGUGGUUGAUUGCCGUGUGACGUGCGAUAUUCGCGGCCUCGGCCGCGAGUACGCCGUUGCUGCGGUUCAUCAUCUGCCACGUAAGCGUGCACUUCUCUCCUAGUAGGACGUCGCAACCCGUUGGGUGUCGGUCUACGGCUCGCAAGGUUGUCUGUUGCUUGGGCGUUUACGCGUCUCUCGUGGCAGACCUGCGAAUGCCCGGCCGACUGCCCGGCGGUAUUGAAAGCAUGAUAGGUACUUGGCCGCAUUUAUGUGCGUCCUGGCCCGUCGGCAGGCUCGCCUCGCCCGGUUUCUCGGACUUUGCGCCGAUGCCGGGUGCUUGGUGUGGCUGUUAGUCGACGGUGUCCUCGGACUGGCUAUUUACCGGUUCGCGACGCUACUGCUUUGGGUACUUUCAGGACCCGUCU
rnacentral:rRNA from 1 species